UACGAAGGGGGCUAGCGUUGCUCGGAAUUACUGGGCGUAAAGCGCACGUAGGCGGAUCAUUAAGUCAGGGGUGAAAUCCUGGAGCUCAACUCCAGAACUGCCUUUGAUACUGGCGAUCUUGAGUUCGGGAGAGGUGAGUGGAAACUGCGAGUGUAGAGGUGAAAUUCGUAGAUAUUCGCAAGAACACCAGUGGCGAAGGCGGCUCACUGGCCCGAUACUGACGCUGAGGUGCGAAAGCGUGGGAG
rnacentral:rRNA from 1 species